rnacentral:rRNA from 1 species
UACGUAGGGGGCAAGCGUUGUCCGGAUUUAUUGGGCGUAAAGAGCGUGUAGGCGGCCAGGUAGGUCCGUUGUGAAAACUCGAGGCUCAACCUCGAGACGUCGGCGGAAACCCUCUGGCUAGAGUCCGGAAGAGGAGAGUGGAAUUCCUGGUGUAGCGGUGAAAUGCGCAGAUAUCAGGAAGAACACCCGUGGCGAAGGCGGCGUUCUGGACUGCAACUGACACUGAUGAACGAAAGCCAGGGGAGCAAACGGG